UCUAGAACUCGAGAUAUGGGCUGAACACUGAACAAUGUCUAGGCUGGAGGACAGAUUCUGACUUCUCUUUUGUUGCUAUAAUUUGAACUUGAAAACGUCCGUUUUGAAUCUUGGACUCUUCAUGAAAGUGUUAGGCCUAUGUCUUAGCAUUCUAUC
rnacentral:pre_miRNA from 1 species